AGCUCAAGUUAGGCCCGUGUCAUUCUCUCUGCCUGCUGUCUGCUAAUCCUGAUGUGGAACUCUCAGCUGCCUCACCAGCACCAUGACUGCCUGCGUGCCUCCUUGCUUCCCACCGUAACAAUGGACUAAACCUCUGAACUAUUCUACAGCCUCCCAGAAGAGCAUCACAACUGAAGUCAAGCAAGCGUCCAACAUAGGAACCUUCAAACCAUAAUAGAUGUGACCUACUUCUACCCAGUUCCAAACCACGGCUCCUCCCUACCACAGAGUUUCAAAAUCAAAUGCUAUCACCAGAAGCAGUGUGAAAGGCUCACAAACUCAUCCUCAAGACCCAAGACCAGUUCUUGACACUUGACUCUCCAGAGCAAUGAUUCCAAACAGAAGAAAACCUCCCUGCCCUCCUCCCAACCCCCAGGAAGUUCUAAUAAACAAAGUUUGUGUGGCAA